rnacentral:pre_miRNA from 1 species
GAUUUCAACUAAAAAAGUUAACAACAACAAAGUUGAAUAACUUUUAUUUUGGUCAUUUCUUCAUCCGACAAAGUGAUAGUAACAUUGUUCACAAAAUUGAUAUAUAUCUUAUCUGGUUUUAUAAACUAUAACACAUAUAUGUAAAAUUUGUGAACAAUGUUACUAAUAUUUUGUCAGAUGAAGAAAUAACAAAAAAAAAGUUUUAGAUCUUGAUGAGUUAUACUAUUUUGUUGUUGAUGACUUUUUCAAUUGAAAUC